rnacentral:lncRNA from 1 species
ACAAACUUUGCCUCCGCAAUGUCUGGGUAGGGGAGACUGUGUCAGGAGUGGCUGAAAUUUGCUAUCAAUACCAGUAUUGAACUGUGUCUAUUCAAGCCACGAAACACCUCCUGACCCCAAGAAAAGAAGGAAAAAAGAAAAAAGGAAAGAGGAAAGGGAAAAAGAAGAAUGAAGGAAGAAAGGAGGAAGGAAGAAGAAAAAGGAAGAAGAAAGCUGCAAGGAAGGAGGGAAAGAAGGAGGAAAGAGGAAGAACAGAAGAGUUUUCACCUUGAAGAUGCCUUGAAAGUGUAUCGGGGCCCCAGAGCUCUCUGGACCACUUUGAGAACCACUCAGUCCUCUAAACUGCUGAAAACUGGUGCCUUUGUGAACACAAAUCAGGGCAACUUGGAGUUUCUGUGCUGGAAGGACGGCUUCAGAGGAGCUCAUCGUGGCCAGAAAAAUGCAGGAGGAUGAAGAGGUCAGUGAUGAAGAAAGAGCCAGCACACCUCUACUGAGUGACCUCUGUGCAGACAGCAUUCCUAGUGCUGUCUGUACUUCCC